rnacentral:lncRNA from 1 species
ACUUGGCAGAUGAGGUUGAUGGUUGGACUUGGUGAUCUAGGACUUCCCCAACCUAUGUGAUUCUGUGAUUCUAAGUUCACUCUUCUACCUGUACCUUUGCAGUGCUAAUAUGUUUAGGAGGUGUUCAAAUUUGUAUCAGUGCCAUAUGAUCAGACAUCAUUCUGUUCAAUUAUUUGGAAUCAGUAGGAAAUCUGUACAGCUCAUGCCAUUUCCAACAGUCUUUUAAAUAUAUUUUUAUGAGGGCUACACCAAAAGUAAGGCCUCCUGUUUUAUUACAUUAACUCACAGUGUGAGAGGUAGUGGUACAGCAGCUGAGGGUGAAUGUUCCCACCAGCAUUCCAUUCCAUUUUGCUACCAUGUGACAUAUGGCAGCAGAGGGACAGUCUGACAGAAUGGCAUCUGCCGUGGAAGUGCAUAUGAAGCAAAGGGGUGUAACUGUAUCCCUCCAGGCAGAAAAAAUGGCACCCAUUGACAGUCAUCUAUGCUUGCUAAAAAUGGAGACCAAACAGUGGAUGUUAGCUCAGUGAAAUAUGGAUUGCAUGGUCAACAUUUUCCUAGCAACAGUGCUGCAGCUGUAAAACUGGGUCAUCUCCACUGGUGCAGAUUUUUAUGAGGGUGGCAUGCAGUCUCCUGUUCAUUGCUGGGAAAAAGGCAUAACUGAUGGUGGGGACAAUGUUGAAAAAUAACAUUUUGUAGCUGGUAAUUUUCUCUAUGAAAUAGUAUUGGUGUAGUCUUUGUACCUGUUGUAGUUUCAACGGAAAUACAUAGGAGACAUUACUUUUGGAGCAACAGGUGCAUUGCGAAGCUGCAAGAAGUUGAUAAAAGACGUUCCUUUUUUUUGUCUGAAAAUAUCAUGAUUAGAUACAUGUUAUAUGUAUGUAUGUGGUUUUUUUUCCCUCUAGGUAUUGUAUGUAAGAGGAAUGCUAUUUCAAAUGUUGGAAAGAAUGAGGAAGAUCACGUAUGUCAAAAAAUACAAGGAUAUCACUCCUUCUCAGAUGUUUAUGUCCAGCACAUGAUGGGUUACCACAAAGAUUCUGAUGAAAAAAAGAAUGGAGGAAGGAAAAUGAGGGACUACCUUCAGAGUUAAAACCAAGAAGGAAGCAUACAAGGACCAGAGUCAAUCACUUCUGUAGUAGAGUGUCUUGUCCUACAAGAGGACCCAUUCCUUUCAGUGGGAUUAUAUAUAGUCAGCAGAACAACAACAGCAGAAUCUGUCACCAAGAAUUCAAUGUAUGAGAUCUAAAAGUAAGUGCACUCCUAAAAGUAAAUGAUUUAUCUUCUACAGGUUUGAUUCCCUUGGUUCAAGAAUAAGAUGCCUCUUUUUGACAAGACAUUCUAUCUAACAGGAAAAAAAAUACAAAUAAUGCAAGCAGUUAAUUUGUUUGGGGGGGGGGGGAGGGUGCGGAAGAACAUAAAAGAUUAUUUACCAGCAAAAACAGCAGUAGAAAAGUGCAAAUAGUUGGUCUAGAUCACUUCUCGAAGACAACGUUUUCCCUCUGAGGGAAGAGAAUUUGC